rnacentral:rRNA from 1 species
UGGGGAAUAUUGGACAAUGGGCGCAAGCCUGAUCCAGCCAUGCCGCGUGAGUGAUGAAGGCCUUAGGGUUGUAAAGCUCUUUCGCACGCGACGAUAAUGACGGUAGCGUGAGAAGAAGCCCCGGCUAACUUCGUGCCAGCAGCCGCGGUAAUACGAAGGGGGCUAGCGUUGUUCGGAAUCACUGGGCGUAAAGGGCGCGUAGGCGGCUUGAUAAGUCGGGGGUGAAAGCCUGUGGCUCAACCACAGAAUUGCCUUCGAUACUGUCAGGCUUGAGACCGGAAGAGGUAAGUGGAACUGCGAGUGUAGAGGUGAAAUUCGUAGAUAUUCGCAAGAACACCAGUGGCGAAGGCGGCUUACUGGUCCGGUUCUGACGCUGAGGCGCGAAAGCGUGGGGAGCAAACAGGAUUAGGAUACCCUGGUAGUCCACGCCGUAAACGAUGAAUGCCAGCCGUUGGGCAGCUUGCUGCUCAGUGGCGCAG